rnacentral:lncRNA from 1 species
ACCAUGGCAACUGGGAACAGCCCCUUCCCUUUUCCUUAGCAACAGGAUCUCCCAGUGAGCUACCACUGGAUCAGAGUGAUGGACCAAAGCUGUUCUCCUAGCAACGGAAGCGACACAUAACCGCUGCAGAGAAGACUUUCUGUCAGGCUGCCUCUUCUUGAAAAAACACAACAGAGGCCGAGUGAGAAGUAGCUACAGUUUAAUUCAAACCUGCACCAGAACACAACGUGUUGGGCUGUUUUGUUUUGCCUCAGACGGUGGCCAAAGCAUAGGGCCAUGUGUCGUCUUGGGAUCAAUACAACCUUAGCACCAUGACAUUUACAGAGUGAGGAAGUCACUUGGGUGCUGGGGUGCUGACAGCUCCUUUCUGACCCCAGGCUGUGCCUGCCACCUCAACAGCUGGUGGGGGUUUGGCUUCCGUGUGGUUCUGUGGUUUUUGGGUCAAUAUAAGAGAUGCCAUUGUCACGGCAAUGGCUUGACAAGCAACCUACUGUGGACUCCUAGCACUACACAUACACACACGCACACACACACUGUAGCACAAUUUUCUGGCAAGUUAACCCCACAAACCUAGAAAGCAGCUAAGGCAAGAACAACAGUGUUUAUUCAGCAAGUACAAGACCAGUUUGAGAGCUGCAUUCGGGGCAACCAGAGACCCCUUUCGCUCCAGCUGGCAGCCACCGGACCUGGGAUGGGGUGGUGGGAGCUCUGCAUGGGGCAGGGAGUGGACACAGGGGAGUGACGGGUUUGGUUGGCUCUAAGCCUCCCAUCUAGAAGCUCCUGGGUGAGCACACAGGCUAUGAAAGGGUGGGCUUGGGUCUGUGGAAGGGCGGGGUGGAUGAAGUAGAAGGCCCACAGUGGCCCCUUGUACGCGCACUCUCCUACCACUUCAGGUGAUGCACUUCUCAGGUGGAGGCGAUUAGAGAGGGUAAAGCGCUCCUGGCCCACUCCAGGUGGCCUGCCUAGCUGGCCCUACCACCCCUUGGAUCUUUGGCAUCUGCCCAAGGCCCAUGACCCAGCAAGGGCAGAAAUAGACAAAGAUGAUGUAUAGCUAGGUGUGGUAGCUUGUGUGUAUAAUUCCAGUACUUGGGGAAACGAAGGCAGGAUUUCUGUAAGUUCAAGGCCAGGCUACCUAAGCAAGAUUUUGUCUCAAGAAGAAGAAAAAGGGGAAAGAGGAGGAGGGGGAGGAGAAAAGAGAAGAGGAGGAGAAGGUAGGAGAAGGAGAGUAGGAGAGAAAGAGAGAUAGACACCGUCAGCGUCACUGUUUAUGAUACCUGUGACCUCUAGGGUCAUUACCUACUGUUCCCAGGGCUAUCUCAGUCCUCUGGGUUAUCUGUCUCUUCAGCUCCUAAGUGAGGACAUUGGGUGCAACUAAAACCGCACGCAGGUUCCUAACACUUUUCUAGUCCAGGCUCGAACAUGAGUCAGUUCAUGACAAAGAUAAAAUCGGCUUGUGCAAAGCAAAGCAGAACACGCCCCCAGGAAGAAAGCACUCUGUCUGGUUAAACUCCUGGUGGGCCUGACAUCAAUCCACAACUGUUUCCCACAGCUAGGUUAGACUGCCGAGGCCAUGAGAGCAGUCAUGGACAGACAUUUCUGGUGCCUAAACUCUUGGGGGCCUCAGUUUUUAUCUGCAAGAUGGGGGACAGUGGUAAGCCCCACCCCAUCUCAGAAGCCCCUUGGAGUUUACCUGUCACUCAGUGAGAGCUGAGCUCUUUGAUGGACCCAAAGCAGGACAAAAGCGUGCAGGGGUGACUGACAAGCUCUGUGGAGCCUCUGACAGGUUUGUGGAGCUCCAACAAAAGUGAGAUCACUUGCCAAAGAGGGGCGGGGAUGAGGCUUAUCAAAGGCAGACAGCUGAGCCACUCUGCAGACUGUGUAGCCACCUACGAGAACCUCUAAGGAGCUUCUAAAACAGGGCGGGUCCGACCAGUCCUCAAGGAGAGCUUAGUGCCGAGGAUUCCAUAGCACCUGUGCAGUGGGGGUGGAUGCUACAGCUAGGCCUUGUGGGUUGAAGCCCCUUCCCUGGCGGUUGCCUAGGCAACCUCCCCACCCCCCAGUCCCUCUUUCUCAGCCAGUAUGAGGCCUCUUACUAGUCACCCAGGAGGAGUAGCUAGGCCUUGCCCAGCAGGGGCAAGUUAUAGGAAGCUGUGUUGGGCUAUGAGGGUGUGGAUGUGGGGUUAGCGCUGGGGUAACCCGGAGCAGAGAUGCGGCCUGAAGGUUUCCAGGGUCAGCAUCCAGCAUUGUUUGAAUGUAGGGAAGUAGGAGGGGGUGGCAGGAGGUGUGGGAUAGGGGAGGCACGGUACAGGAAGCAAAAGGACCCUGGGUUGGGAGGAAGGGGCCAGGGGUCCAGCCUGCCCCCGCCUCUGCCCUGUACUGUCUGGUUGGUGGUGAGUGCAGCAUCUCCUACAAACCAAAUCUAUUCCAGAUUCUAUGCUAUGCUAGUGACACAAAGCACCGUUAUUUUCCACAGGGUGCACAAACAAGUCAAACCAAACCACUGCGCAAACCAAACGUGCAAAACAAAACCAUUUACACGCGCCUGGCACCAGCCACA